rnacentral:rRNA from 1 species
UACGAAUUUAUCUCCCAAGGUAGCUUGCAUGAUAUUCUUCACAAAGAAAAUAACAAGGUGCCUCUCAACUUGGAUACCCGUUUAAAUAUCAUUGCACAGUCAGCGGAUGGUCUAGCUUAUAUGCACUCAAAAGCAAAUAUUAAGAUUCUACAUGGUGAUGUUAAACCAGCAAAUAUACUCUUGGAUGAUAACUUUGUACCCAAGAUUUCAGACUUUGGCAUAUCUAGGCUGAUUGCAAGAGACAAGGAACACACUACAUCAAUCAUUGGCGACAUGAGUUAUAUGGAUCCGGUGUAUCUACAAGAAGGCCUGCUCACCAAAAAAAGUGAUGUUUACAGUUUCGGGGUUGUAAUCUUGGAGCUUAUUAGCAGGAGGAGGGCCAUGCAUUCUGACAAUAAUAAGUUGGUAAAGAAUUUUCUUGAAGCCCAUAAGAAACAAAAGAAAGCGACUGAGUUUUUUGACAAAGAAAUUGCGAUGACAGAAGAUUUGGAGCUUCUUGACAGUCUAGCAGGUCUGGCUGUGGAAUGCCUUAGCCUUGACGUGGAUGAAAGACCAACGAUGAUGGAGGUAGCUGAGAGGCUACUCAUACUAGGCCGAUCUCGAAAGGUGUAA